GCCCUUACAGCUUCAUUAAAAUCCUCUACCAUUGUAUUGGGCAGCUUGUUCCAGAGCCUUACUGACUAUUACAAAGGUGAAAAUUUAAAAAAUUUAUCACAAGCAAACCAUACACAUCAACCAGUAUGUCAGUAUAUGUCUGCACUCGCAAGAAAUUGUAAUGGUAGGUGGAGAAGUUAGCUGAGCAGACUUGGCAUGCUAUUGCCAAGUUGUUGGCAAUAGCCAAGUAGUUGGCAUGUUUAUAUACCAAGAGAUCAAAAGAAGAGAGGAAGGGAAAACAUGCACAUGCAUCCACUCGCACACAAACGAAGGAAGGGCAAGCAGUGAGUACUACGAAAUGAACAAAUUCGAAGUUGAAUCUGUACGCCACUGUCAAUAAACAAAAUGUUACCCAUCUCUGAACAGGGCUGAAGAAACAGAGGGCUGAAGGCAAGCUCCUGAUCUAGCCACACACCCGCAUUCCCUAGUACUCCGCAACCCGUACUGCAGUUUUUCUCUACCAGAUGACAGUGAGCCCUAGACGUGAUCCACGCACCUACUCAACAAGGCAGAACGGAUUUCAGUUUAGCAUUCUCUUUUUGAAAAUGCCACCUUGACUGCUGCAGACUUUUCAUCUCCUUUCUUUGCUUUUGCUGCUUAGAAGCAAGUCUUGCUGCACGAGCUUGCAAGGAAGCCUUCUCAGGGGUGUCG